rnacentral:lncRNA from 1 species
UUAUCAAAUUCUGAUUAUUUUUAUUUCGUGAUCCACCCUCCUUAAAGGUGCCGUACUUUUGAAGAUUAUUUCAAUAUUUAUUUCGAAAUAUUGCACGAGCGUCGCUGUGAAUUUUACUGCGCUCCGCAGUAAAAAUUUCCGUACGAAUGUUUGUGCCAGGAUGCGGCGAUAAUAUGGCAGGAGUAUGCUGUCGCUACAUCGGCCUAUUUCCCCAUUGUUUUUAUAUGCUCAGCCCCUUGUCGAAAUGUGUAAAUCACCGAUUUAGUGUGCUAUGGAAUUCGGAAGUGAGUAAAUCGAUACUUAUUUUUUGGGGCAAAGACAUUUUACCGUGAUGGACCGUAAAAUUUACUAAACGUUUUGUAAAUUUUAGUAUACGUACCGUAAAUUUUACUAUUGUAAAACUAGAAAUUUCGCGAAAUAUUUAAAAUUUUACAGCGCGCAAGAGGAGUUGAUUUUUUUCGUGAUCUUGUCUCACGUUAACUUGAAUGAAAGGGAAUCUUCGAUGCCGAGGUUUCAGUCGGCUCUAUAGAAAUAGCUCUUCUCCGUGGCGGCCGAGAGCGGAAAACAUUUUUAGUUUUGUGAUCGGUGGAGAUACUGCAGAUUUCUCACUUCACUCACAUCAGUCGAUGUGUUACUGUCCCGAUGGAUAAAACAGAAAGCAUUGAAGCACUGCUUUGAUGAUGCUUCAUUUUUUUAUUGAAAUUCACUCUCGUUUCACCAUUUUUUUGAAAACUGAAGUUAAAAAGAAAAUGUAAAAAAACUGGAAUAAAUUACCAACCACUUCGGUCUUAAUUACUUUUCGCCAUUUAUAUAAAUAUAAAUGAAAAAAAUCAAAAAGAAAACAUUCAUAAAUCAUCUUCAAUCGGGUUGUUUUUCUCACUGAUCCAGAAAUGGAAACGAGUUUUUAGAAUCAAAUACGGUACGUUACGGUCCGUGUAAAGUGAGCUCCGAGUGUUCUUUUUUCUUCAUGAUUUUAGUAUCGAUAUUAUUGAAAACUCAUCGUACUAUCAUCGACUUCUAUUAGUCGCAAGUGUACGCGAGAAUACGAAUUAUCCGCGGAGGAUCGAAUUCGAAAAGUUGUAUACACAAAUCGCUCGAGCCCGCGAUGUCAUUUUUUCUAUCCGCUUUGAGGAUUAGACUUUUGACCAUUGAAAAAAGGGGCUGUCAACGACCUUCGUUGCAAACAUUUUACGCACUCGAUCCAUGUCCGACGAGUUCGGCCACGUGCAGCCUCGUCCGUUGAACCCUGGGUUCAACGCUUUUUUUGCACUCCAGAUGGUUCGAACCACCUGUGAAGUGAGCAACAUGUAGCCAUCCAUAUCCGCAUAGGUUUCCCACAGUUAUUUAUUUCUGCUUUUUUUCAUGCCCAAGUGGCAUGUAACUGGACAUCGCGGCCCUCGCCAGGAGGUUCGUGGGGAACGGCCGAAAAGUUCCUGAAUAGAAUUGAAGAUUCAAAAACUAUUAUUGAGGACGCUGAAAACGGAGCGUUAGAAGUUUGAGGGGUGAAAGGGGAAAUAUUUAUAAGAAUAAAUGAGAGCGAGGAAAAACGAGCGCGCUGGGCCUGAUAAGAGAAAAUCCGCGUGAUAUAUGUGGGGUCUUCCGAUACGUAAUAUCAGCGUGUUUGACAUAAGCAGUAAAAAAAAAAAAAAAUUAUGACAAAACGAGCUGCAGUCGAUACAAGACAACCGCAGGACAUUGGUUGAUAAGAGUGCAAAGUGAUGCGGAAAGUAGACCUCGAUUCACAUCGCCCAGCGAGAGGCGAAUAUUGUCACAUGCGUGUGUGCACUAGGAUUCCUCGAAACCGCGGGCAACAGCCGCCAGGUCACAGGAAACAACGCCGUGAAGAACCUCGCGGCAACAAUUAAGGCUCGUUUCACACUAUUCGUGUCCUCUGAUCGUCUGCAAGCUUUGUACGAGGUUUCCGGUUCAUUAGACUGGCAACUGACUGUGGAAAAAGCAGCUCGCUGAAGCUGCAUGGAAAAAUGAUUCGGAUUUGAGUCAAUUACGUCAAAAUUGGAGGACAAGGAGUUACGAAAAAAAUAAAAAUAGUGUCCAUUUUCUAGUGCAACGGAAAACCUGCAGUAAGAAAAAACGGUCUGUAAAUCAAAUCCAUUGAGAGUUAGGCACACAACGUAUAGUUUGAUAAUAACUUCAAGUCAACUGUUGUGACAGCAACUGUCGCCAGAAUUCACCGUGAACAUGAUGAAUAAUAUAUGUUAUUAGAUCAAAAUGUUUCAACUCACUGUCACACCCAUCACCGAAGAUCGAGCUUCGUCCAUUGUACGACGCAGGU